CUCAGACUGCUGUGCUAGCAAUCAGUGAGACUCCGUGGGCGUAGGACCCUCCGAGCCACGUGCAGGAUAUUAUCCCCUGGUGCGCCGUUUUUUAAGCCCGUUGGAAAAGCGCAGUAUUCAGGUGGGAGUGACCCGAUUUUCCAGGUGCCGUCCAUCACCCCUUUCUUUGACUAGGAAAGGGAACUCCCUGACCCCUUGUGCUUCCCGAGUGAGGCAAUGCCUCUCCCUGCUUCGGCUCGUGCACGGUGCGCGGACCCACUGACCUGCGCCCACUGUCUGGCACUUCCUAGUGAGAUGAACCUGGUACCUCAGAUGGAAAUGCAGAAAUCACCCGUCUUCUGCGUCAAUCACGCUGGGAGCUGCAGACCGGAGCUGUUCCUAUUCGGCCAUCUUGGCUCCGCCAAAAUAGAUCAAUAGGGGUCAGGGGAUAUCUUUCAUGAGGUUCCAGCACAAACACAACAAAAUGCAGCAGCCAAAUCACAAAAAAAAAAAGAAAAAAAAGUUGUGAGAAGAUGAGAUGUCUAAAAGUGACUUAAUAUGGAUCAAGUCAAGAAUAAUCCAGCUAAGUUUAAACUUCAAUCAAUGAUAAGAAGAAAAAGAAAAGAAGCCUUUCUGUGAGAAAGGCUAUUUCACAGUGUAAAGACAAAGAAUUGCAUGCUUCAUGAAAAGGAUUUUAUCUCUCUGCUGAGUGAUUCUCGGGACAGCAACCAAGUGCAUCAUCAUCAAGUCCACCUGGGGAUGAUGCUACUUACAACAGCUCAGCACACAUUGCACACUUAUUGCCAUGCGUCUUCCCAUCAGGACCAAGAACAGGAUCAUUUUCCCUUGUGCAUCCAAGUCUUCCAUCUCUAACAAAGGGCCGAAAAGCACUGCAUACAUCCUGAAGAACAGGGAAAAGAACUUGAAACUUACCAAGAUUGUAAUGCUGACAACACUGUUUUCAGAAAUUUUAUUGAACUCAGUCCCUCUGACAUUGCUAUGGGCCACUUAGAGCAGUACCAGCUGUGUAGAUGUAGCUCAGUGGUGGAUCACAACCUACAGAAAACACCUCUUCCUAAUGUUGACAAUGCCUGAGACCUUACAGAUAGAUUCCUGACCUGGUGAAGUGGCAGCAAGCUGGAGUGGAAAAGAGGGGAUUCAGAACCUCCAGCACUGGGUCUUAUCUCUUUUUCUAUCCUUAUACUCACCAGAAGGGCUACAGACUGAAGCUUGACAUUGAACACUACCUAACUGAAUUUAGCAGAAAAAAUAAAUACAGCCAUUAUGGAAUAUUACAAUAAGAAUAUCUGUAUAUCUGACAAGUAAAAAAUAGAAUAUACUAAACAACAUGUAUUAAUUGAAGUAGAAAUAUUGGAAUGGGUAGAAAAAUAUUUUAUCAAGUCUAAUUAUGUUAUGGAGAGAUAAGAGAAGAUAUCUGCAUAAACAAAUGUAAAACAAUAACAAGAAAGAAGUUAUAAAGGAAGAACAAAGUGGAAAUUUUGUAUAUGGAAAAUAUUCAAAUGAUAAUAAAUCUAGCAAUAUAAAGAAUAAAGAUGGGAUAGGUACAAAUAAAUAAUGAACUUGUGAACCAGAUGAUCAGAUCAAGGAAUUCUCCUAGAAGGCAAUGGAAAUAAGAAACAAUUUUUCUAAAAAAGGAAAAGCUAAAGAACAUUUAAAAUAGAAUUAGAAGUCUCCAAAAGAAGGAAAUAAAUAUAGAAAGAAAUAUCUGAAGAAAGGAACAAUUUCUAUAAUUAACAAAAAAAGAAUAAAAGAGAAAAGCAAUAAGAAUUUUAAGCUAAAAUCAAGUUAAUAACAAAAUUAUAUUUACAGAAAAUAUAUGGAGAGUGGAUUAACAUACAUUUGGAGAGAAGACAAAGAAAUUGACAAUAGACACAGAUAUUAGCAAUAGAAUAAAUAAUCAAAAGUAUGGCUAUUUGUUUAGGGAUAGUCAUAAUAAGAACAAAAAUAAAUCACCACCCAAAAAAAGCUAGAAAGAAGAAACUACUAAAUAUAGUAACCGAAAAUAUUUUAAAAAUGAAAGAACCAAGUCUCACUAUAACAGAAAUAACAAUAAAUAUAAAUGUGCUAAACCUACAAAUUAAGAGACAAUUGGUAAUUUGAUGUUUAAAAAAGAACCCAUGUAUUGAGAAAAAUUAAAAUGAAAAGGCAUGCAAAUAUCAAACCAGUAAGAUAAUAAAAAUAUACAAGACAAAAAUGAAGAGGAAGAGAGCAUAUGCAGCAAUAUUAACACUUAAAAAUUAGAAUUGAGUCCAAAAAUGUAUCAUAAGUGACAAAGAAGGACAAUAUAUGAAGUAAAAAAUGACAAGAACAAGAACAAGAAAGUAUAACAAUCAUGAGCAUAUAUUCACCUAAUAAUAUAGACUUUAAAUAUGUCAAACAAUAACAAACAGAAUGUAAUAGACUUAAAUAAAUCAAUAACUGGAGUUAGAGAUUUAAGCAAACACUUCUCAGAAAUUUAUAUAUUAAGUAAAAAAAAAAGAAUAUUAAGCCAUUAGAUUUUUAUAGACAACUACAACCAAGAAACAGAAAAUAAACAUUUUUUAAGAAUAUAUAGGCCGGGCGCGGUGGCUCACGCCUGUAAUCCCAGCACUUUGGGAGGCCGAGGCGGGC
rnacentral:lncRNA from 1 species